rnacentral:lncRNA from 1 species
AGUAUAGGAAUGUGAAAAUCAAAUUUAAGGAUAAAGAUUGCAGGAGGACAUUGCUAACUGGAAACAAAAUUUAAAAAAAUAUACAGCUACGAAAGCCGCUAACCAGUGCAACACAACACGAUAACACCGGCGGUUAUUAACAAUAAUGCCAGAUACAAUUUUAACAGGCGUUUUGACCGUAGGUACGAGACAUGGACUCAGAUCCUAACUUAAAACAAGAACCACAGCGGACAACGUACCUGCAGAUGGAACUAUCGGCAAGAAAAUCUAAUUACGUGAAAAUAUGAAAAAAGAAGCGCAUUUUUCAGAACUUAAUUAAAUCAUUUAUUAUUUGUAACGGUUUUCAUUGAUCACCAUAUAUAACGUCCAUAGGAAAAGUA